GUUAUUUCUAAGUGUUGCAUCUACACUGAUAUCAUAUAUAUGUACAUUAGCAGCACUAGCAGUUGUGAAUCCUGCCCACUUCUUUGCAUGGUCAGCACAUGCUUCAGUGCUCUGAGAGUGUUUAUAGAGCUGUGAGUUUAACACUUCAUGACUGAGAGCAGAACAGAACACAAUCUUCAUCAUCACACAAGACACAACAACAACAAUGAACAACAUCAUCAUCCUCAUCUGGACCAGUGGGGUUUUUAUUCAUGAAUCCAGAGGAAUCACUUUGACUCAGCCUAAAGUUAAGACUGUCCAGCUCGGUCAAACAGCUACAAUAGAGUGUAAUCUGGAUGUAGGACUAACCUCUAAUGAUUUGGCCUGGUAUCAGCAGAAACCUGGAGAAACUCCUAAACUCCUCAUUCAUGACAUAAACAGCCUCCAGUCAGGAACUCCAUCUAGAUUUAGUGGCAGUGGAUCUGACUAUGGAAGUGAUUUCUCUCUGACCAUCAGUGGAGUCCAGACUGAAGAUACAGGAGAUUAUUACUGUCAGAGUUUACACUAUCCAGUCAACAGUCAAUAUGUGUUCACACAGUGA